ensembl:lncRNA
AUUUACUCGUUUUCUCGAUGCAUUGAUUAUAAACCAUGACGAUGCAUAUGCAUUGAUCUUGAAACAUGGAUUUUUGAAUUUUGAAUUGCCGAUUUCAGACAGUAAUCUAUUUAAAAUGCUAAGAAUCGAAUGAAUCGCGAUUUCUAUAUAGAUUCAAUGCUUUCAAAAUAUAUACACAUUAAAUUACUACAAGCAUGAAUUAAUGGAGACCUUGAACAGUGUUUACGCCCUCGCAUCUUUCCUUCACGCGCACCACUAUUUACUGCCCGUGACUGUCACAGGAUUGCGCUCGCACUCCGUUCGUCUCACUGACACAUUUUUUUGAGCAGCUGAUGUGUGAUCUCUCCUUAGGACUCAUAGCCAGUAAUGUUAAAGUGAAGUAGUUUUACUUUUCUGUAGUUUUUGAAUGGCUCUAGGCAGGGGCGUCGGACUGGGGGGGUAAAGGGUACCGAGUACCCAGGGCCCGAGGCAGGGGUGGGCCCUUAGAAGUCAGUUUUCUGUACAUAUACAUGCACUAACAUUUGUAUAGCGUUUAUAUACAAAUAAAAAAGUUCCUGUGCAAAACUAAACUUGUAGUUAGGCACUGGUUUGGUAUAAAACAAAGUCAUUUUCAUGCUGUGCUGGGCCCCACCACCCCUUUCAAAUCAAUGUAAAUGGUACGACCCGCAGGUCAGGUGCUUCUGCUGCGGACCUGCGGUGAAUCAGUGAGUUAAUGAGACAGGAGCUGGAGUUAGCCGUGAUAUGAACUAGGAAUACAGGGGAAGAGUAAUGUCUUUCCUUAAGAAAGGAAAAUCAGGGGUUCAAAAACGAAAAGAAAAGAAGAUUAAAGAGAGAAAGGCAAAUGAGGGCAAGCAGUUGCUCACUCAGUUUUUUGAAAAGAAAGACCCUGCAGCAGCAGGCCCCUCAUCAUGGCCAGGUGAACGCAGUGACAGUGAGGUGAAUGUGACAGUGAGACAAGAACCUGGGCGGAACGGUGCGUGAGCCUUUUAAGAUCUGAGAAGAUUCACACCUCUCAGGAUGGGCUUGUCAUAUGAGAAUGGCUGAAAUUCCAAGCGGGAGGUUGGAAAUACUGGAGAGUUUUAUGACCCUUUGUGUGAAAGCAUGGUAAUUUGCAUAUGUAACUGGAUCAGAAGUUGAUAUACAAACAAGUAAAGAUUCUUAGAACACUAAUAUGUUGCAUAGGUAUCAACAUAUAAUAUACACUCUCGUUUAGAUCAUCAGAAGUUGAAUUCAUAGAUCCUAAACAUGGUAAGAUUACAUAUAGGUAAGAUUACACGAACAAGCGGUUCUAUCACAAGCAUGCAUAAAACAGUCAAAUUCAAUAGACAAUAUACAAGCACAGCAAUAAUAUACACAAUGACCUGAAGGAUAUGUGUGUUCAUUCAAAGAGAGGUUUUCUUAUGAACUUAUUAGAGAAGAGUCCAUUUUAUGGGCAUUAUGUGUCUUUCCUAAGGGAAAUGAACUGAGUGUUGCUCUGCCCGCCUUCCUUUGGGCAAUAAAACUAGUGUUAUCAGAUUGGUUGCCA